rnacentral:rRNA from 1 species
UACGGAGGAUGCAAGCGUUAUCCGGAUUUAUUGGGUUUAAAGGGUGUGCAGGUUGUUUGAUAAGUCAGCGGUGAAAGUCUGUCGCUUAACGGUAGGAUUGCCAUUGAUACUGUUGGACUUGAAUAUGGAUGAGGUAGGCGGAAUGUGUAGUGUAGCGGUGAAAUGCAUAGAUAUUACACAGAACACCGAUUGCGAAGGCAGCUUACUAAUCCAUCAUUGACGCUGAGGCACGAGAGCGUGGGGAUCAAA